AUUUUGGACAAUGGGGGCAACCCUGAUCCAGCCAUGCCGCGUGUAUGAAGAAGGCCUUAGGGUUGUAAAGUACUUUUGUUAGGGAAGAAAAGUCAGCUGUGAAUAAUGGCUGAUACUGACGGUACCUAAAGAAUAAGCACCGGCUAACUACGUGCCAGCAGCCGCGGUAAUACGUAGGGUGCGAGCGUUGUCCGGAAUUACUGGGCGUAAAGGGCUCGUAGGUGGUUUGUCGCGUCGUCUGUGAAAUUCCGGGGCUUAACUCCGGGCGUGCAGGCGAUACGGGCAUAACUUGAGUACUGUAGGGGUAACUGGAAUUCCUGGUGUAGCGGUGAAAUGCGCAGAUAUCAGGAGGAACACCGAUGGCGAAGGCAGGUUACUGGGCAGUUACUGACGCUGAGGAGCGAAAGCAUGGGUAGCGAACAGGAUUAGAUACCCUGGUAGUCCAUGCCGUAAACGGUGGGCGCUAGGUGUGAGGGUCUUUCUACGACUUUCGUGCCGUAGCUAACGCAUUAAGCGCCCCGCCUGGGGAGUACGGCCGCAAGGCUAAAACUCAAAGGAAUUGACGGGGGCCCGCACAAGCGGCGGAGCAUGUGGAUUAAUUCGAUGCAACGCGAAGAACCUUACCUGGGCUUGACAUACACUAGAUCGCUGCAGAGAUGUAGUUUCCCUUUGUGGUUGGUGUACAGGUGGUGCAUGGUUGUCGUCAGCUCGUGUCGUGAGAUGUUGGGUUAAGUCCCGCAACGAGCGCAACCCUUGUCUUAUGUUGCCAGCAUUUGGUUGGGGACUCAUGAGAGACUGCCGGGGUUAACUCGGAGGAAGGUGGGGAUGACGUCAAAUCAUCAUGCCCCUUAUGUCCAGGGCUUCACACAUGCUACAAUGGUCGGUACAACGCGCAGCGACACUGUGAGGUGGAGCGAAUCGCUGAAAGCCGGUCUUAGUUCGGAUUGGGGUCUGCAACUCGACCCCAUGAAGUCGGAGUCGCUAGUAAUCGCAGAUCAGCAAUGCUGCGGUGAAUACGUUCCCGGGUCUUGUACACACCG
rnacentral:rRNA from 1 species